GAUGAACGCUAGCGGCAGGCCUAACACAUGCAAGUCGAGGGGCAGCACAUAAAGUGGUUUACUACUUUUGGUGGCGACCGGCGGACGGGUGCGUAACGCGUAUGCAACCUGCCUCCAACAGGGGGAUAACGGAGAGAAAUUUCCACUAAUACCCCAUAAUAUCAGAAUCGGCAUCGGCUCUGGUUGAAAGCUCCGGGGGUUGGAGAUGGGCAUGCGUUGUAUUAGAUAGUUGGUGAGGUAACGGCUCACCAAGUCAACGAUACAUAGGGGGACUGAGAGGUUAGCCCCCCACACUGGUACUGAGACACGGACCAGACUCCUACGGGAGGCAGCAGUGAGGAAUAUUGGUCAAUGGGGGCAACCCUGAACCAGCCAUGCCGCGUGCAGGAAGACGGCUCUAUGAGUUGUAAACUGCUUUUACAAGGGGAUAAAUCGGUGUACGUGUACACCGUUGAAGGUACCUUGGGAAUAAGGAUCGGCUAACUCCGUGCCAGCCGCCGCCGUAA
rnacentral:rRNA from 1 species